GCUGAGGGGUCGCGCGAAUGACCAAGGUGCCUAAAGGUAAAAGAAGGCCAGAGGAGCCGAAUUCCGUCUGAAAUAUUACUCGUUUGGCGCCCGGUGUGUGGCCUUGCAUAUCCUUGCAGUGAAAAGAAGCGGCCACACCCUUGCAACCGCAGGAACCUAUUGGUACUCUCCUGGGGGACCCUUGUCAGGACAACCUAGAGACUACGCUUUCCCAGCGGGAGCUGACUCCCGGGAGUGGGGAGAGGAGUCGGAGGCCCGCGGCGCGCGUUUCCCGGUAGGAUGAGGUGCGGCCGGAGACGGGGGCCGGCGGUGCAGGUGGCAGCCGCGUCCGGGAUCGCAGGCGGAGGCCUGGCUCGCGCUCAGCUCCCGAGUCCCCGGGUGCCUCUCCUGGCCCCGCCCUAGCCCCGGUGUCUCCGAGCCUGCCUCCUUGUCCCCUGGAGUCGAGGGGGCUGGGACUGGGCGGGGAAUCUGGAAAAACCACCCAGAUUGCAUUGCAGUGGGCGAGGCCGCUUGGAGGAGCCGGUUCUGCGGAGCCGCGUCGCCCCAGGGCUCUCUAGACGUGACCAUCUCGGUUGCUCGGCUCUACCGAAGAGGCAACACCUGGCAAAGGCACGAGACUCCGCGGCACGCUCAGCACACCGGGCUGGGAGGCCCCAAGUCAGGCAAGCGAAGGUUGCAGAGAAAGUGAUCACAGCCGCACCUGAAGCACCUCCGACAGGACUUUGGAGUUUGGAUCCAUCGUUCCUACGACAAGUUUUAAAGAACGGAAGACUUAAAGUCGGCGCUUUUACUAGGAGAUGCCGCAACAGGAAACUAACAUGAAUCUCACAGCUGCCCCUCUUUUGCAGAGACUCUCCAUCCCCCAUUUUAAUAAGCUGGAUUAUCUGUUUCUAACAUUUUUUAAUUUUUAGAUUUUAAAUUCAAUUUUUAAUUCAGUUUAAUGUGUCCAACUGGAUUUACCUUAACAAGGGUUUUGCUGUUUGUUGUUUUGGGGUAGAUGCUCAGGGCUUGUAACAGCCUGGCACUUGCUCUGCCCACAACAAAUACACAAAUACAGUAAUUUUAAUGAUAAAAAGAAAGGAAGGAAAGGAGGACGUGACUGCUUCUAGGUACGGAUUAACAUUUUUUUAGCCAGUGAUCUCAGAGGCAAAGGCUAGGGAAUCUUAUGAACCUAGUCUAAAAACCCAGUUUCGGGAUAACCAGAGCUACACAGACUAGGUAGUCUGGAAAAAGAUUGAGAUUAGCGAUAUGAGGGAGCCCAUAGCUAGAGGUAUGUGGAAGGGUCCAGAAUGAAGAGGAAGCUGAGCCACGCCGUGUGAGAAGAGGAAGAUAGAGAGAGGGAAACCAGGUGCAGUGGCCAAGGGGCCAAAAUAGCUGGGUUAUUGGUAGAAGGGCAACUCAGCCCAGUUCCUGUACUGGAGAGUUCAGGGUAGGGGGCAGAGUAAACCGACUAAGAGGACCUUGUAACUGGUACGGACUGAGGGAUGCUGAGUUUUACGCUAGGGUUUAAGACCUAGCAUCCCAGGUUUUUGUUGUCAGUAAAGGGGUCGUCCCUUAGUUAUUAGGCUGAAACUGGGGCUUUGUCAGCAGCCCAGGAAAGC